rnacentral:rRNA from 1 species
ACGGAAGGCAGCAGUGGGGAAUAUUGGACAAUGGGGGAAACCCUGAUCCAGCGACGCCGCGUGAGUGAAGAAGUAUUUCGGUAUGUAAAGCUCUAUCAGCAGGGAAGAUAAUGACGGUACCUGAAUAAGAAGCCCCGGCUAACUACGUGCCAGCAGCCGCGGUAAUACGUAGGGAGCAAGCGUUAUCCGGAUUUACUGGGUGUAAAGGGCGUGUAGGCGAGACAUCAAGUCAGAUGUGAAAGCACGAGGCUCAACUUCGUGUCUGCAUUUGAAACUGACGUUCUUGAGUGUUGGAGAGGCUAACGGAACUCCUAGUGUAGCGGUGAAAUGCGUAGAUAUUAGGAAGAACACCAGUGGCGAAGGCGGUCAGCUGGACAAUAACUGACGCUGAGGCGCGAAAGCGUGGGUAGCAAACAGGAUUAGAUACCCUGGUA